AAAUAAAUAAUUUAAGAUAAUUUGCACUCGAAAUUGAUAUAUUUGUCGAACACUUCAAAUCGCGCUUAAAUAAUUGACGACGAAACAGAUUGAAAUAAAACUGAGAGGUAUAUUCUCCAGCUUAAUCGCAGACGUCAUUAAGUUCUCCUAAGAGAAACUUGGUCUGGAUCUUAUAAGAUGUACACAGAGACUGAACUUUUGUAAUAUAUGCCAAAAUCCAAAAUCCAAAUAUUCCCAGGAUUCGCUAUCAGCAUUUCUCUGCUGAUUUGAUCAGUACCAGUAGUUACUGAUCUAAUACCACUGCACAAGAUUUUUGGAUUAAUUGAUGUUUGACGUGCCUAAGCAAACACUAUAUUUGCGAAAUUCAAAUAUCUGACUACUUUAAAGAUUUGAUAGUAGCAGAUUUGCAUAAAGGACUACUGUGCGUUUUGUUUACUUUAGCAAUAUCCUUUUUUUCUGCCGAAGCCGAAAAACUCAGUCCUACAAACAAGAAUUGUUGUUUAUCUGAGGAAGAUAAGAAUAUUGUUUGAAUAUUCAAGCAAGUUUACUUGGCCAAUAUCAACAAGUUUUGCGAAAACUUAUGUUAUAGUUGCCGAUAUCCAAAACUGCAAUUCAGAUUUGGUAGUAAUAUACUUUACUGCACAUACUACGGUACG